rnacentral:rRNA from 1 species
GCGUUCUCGGAAUCACUGGGCGUAAAGGAUGCGUAGGCGGAUAAUCAAGUCAAAAGUGAAAUCCCACGGCUUAACCGUGGAACUGCUUUCGAAACUGGUUAUCUAGAAUAUGGAAGAGGCAGAUGGAAUUAGUGGUGUAGGGGUAAAAUCCGUAGAGAUCACUAGGAAUACCGAUUGCGAAGGCGAUCUGCUGGGACAUUAUUGACGCUGAGGCAUGAAAGCGUGGGGAGCAAACAGGAUUAGAUACCCUGGUAGUCCACGCCCUAAACGAUGCACACUAGUUGUUGCGACGCUCGUCGUUGCAGUAAUACGGUUAACACAUUAAGUGUGCCGCCUGGGGAGUACGGUCGCAAGAUUAAAACUCAAAGGAAUAGACGGGGACCCGCACAAGCGGUGGAGCAUGUGGUUUAAUUCGAAGAUACGCGAAGAACCUUACCUAGACUUGAAAUCCUUAGAAUCCUGUAGAGAUACGGGAGUGCUAGUUUACUAGAACUAAGUGACAGGUGCUGCACGGCUGUCGUCAGCUCGUGUCGUGAGAUGUUGGGUUAAGUCCCGCAACGAGCGCAACCCUCGUGAUUAGUUGCUAACAGUUCGGCUGA